AGAGCGCCAAUCAUGGCGGAGAGAAUUAAGCUUCGCGCCGCCAAUGAGGUUUUGAUUGGGAGGAGUCUGAGCCUCCAUUCAUGUACUGAUUGCAGCGAAAUGCCAUCACUUUAUAUUCACCCUCAAAUUCCUAAUUAAUUCAAAUUAUAUUCUGAAAAAACCCUAAUUACUUAUAAACCCCAAAUCCCCACCUUUUAUGCUUUUCCACUCUCUCUCCCUGCAACUUUACUCCUCGCUCGAACCACAUAACGCAUCUGAAUCACAAGUUGAUGAGCAGCCGAUGCAUUGCUUCGACUUGAAAUGUUUGGUAAUAGUUUGUGAUUGAUUGAGAUGGUUUCUUCACGGCAAUUGAAUUUUAAUUGAUGAGUAGUGUAAUGGUAUAAUCUAAUCCGUUGAUGAUGGUAUUUUGUUUGUUCCCACAUUGAUGUAUUCAGCAGCAGUUGGAUUCCAAGUAUUUGCUUGUUUGGUUCCUUCCAUAUGAUUUGAAUUUGUCAUUUUAGCUCACUCUCUUUGCCUUGUGGUAUUAAUUUGAGAUGUUGAUAUAAUGUAACUGAACUUUUCCUUUAUUCCCUCCUUCACCUGA